AUUGAACGCUGGAGGCAGGCCUAACACAUGCAAGUAGAGCGAGUGGCGGACGGGUGAGUAAUGUAUGGGGAUCUGCCCGAUAGAGGGGGAUAACUAAUGGAAACGGUGGCUAAUAACGCAUCCAACCGGACGAACCCAUAUGGGAUUAGCUAGUAGGUGGGGUAAAGGCUCACCUAGGAGAAGAUCUCUAGCUGGUCUGAGAGGAUGAUCAGCCAUACUGGGACUGAGAGACGGCCCAGACUCCUGCGGGAGUCAUCAGUGGGGAAUAUUGCACAAGGGGCGCAAGCCUGAGGCAGCAAUGCCGCGUGUAUGAAGAAGGCCUUAGGGUUGUAAAGUACUUUCAGCGGGGAGGCGUUACCCGCAGAAGAAGCACCGGCUAACUCCGUGCCAGCAUCCGCGGUAAUUC
rnacentral:rRNA from 1 species